rnacentral:tRNA from 1 species
GCCUUUCAUGCGGGAAUAGUGGUGAGUAUUCCCGCCUGUCACGCGGGUGACCCGAGUUCGAUCCCCGGCAACGGCG